AAUGAACGUUGGCGGCGUGGAUUAGGCAUGCGAGUCGCGCGAGAAUGUAGCAAUACAGGACAGCGGCGAAAGGGAGAGGACAACAUGGGAAUCUGCCCUGGGGACGAGGAUAGCGUCGGGAAACUGACGGUAAUACUCGAUAAUGUUUGCGGACCAAAGGUGUGAUUCCGCCCCAGGAUGAGCCCGUGCCCCAUUAGCUUGUUGGCAGGGUAACGGCCUACCAAGGCUAUGAUGGGUAGCUGGUGUGAGAGCACGACCAGCCUCACUGGCACUGAGACACUGGCCAGACACCUACGGGUGGCUGCAGUCGAGAAUCUUCGGCAAUGGACGAAAGUCUGACCGAGCGACGCCGCGUGCGGGAUGAAGGCCUUCGGGUUGUAAACCGCUGUCGUAGGGGAUCAAAUGUAUGAGGGUUCUCCCUUGUAUUUGAGAGAUCCUAGGAGGAAGGAGAGGCUAAGCUCG
rnacentral:rRNA from 1 species